rfam:Trichobilharzia regenti genome assembly, scaffold: TRE_scaffold0024818
AUCCAGAUGACGAGUCCCAAAAGGACGAAAUGUGCAUCCUGGAU